rnacentral:lncRNA from 1 species
GGCUCAAAUUUUGAAUUGCUCUGCAGAGGAGUGAAACUUCUAAAGAAUGACCAUCUUCCCUCUCCCUUUGGUCCAAGCAAGUAGAAGAAAAGCAAGUAGGAUGCAGUGUGAUUUGGAUCAAUUCCUUGUUAUCUCAAAGCCUAUUGGAAAAUUGCUGACUUUCAAAAUCUUUCCUUAGGGGAGCUCAGUGUUUUAUUUGUCAUUGUUCCCAUUUCGUGGUAUCUUUCCACUUUCAAAAUUCUACAAUGAAAAUUAGCAUUUUUAUAUUUUGUCAGUUAUUCUGUGUACGAUAGUUUUGAAUUUUCAGGUAUUCAUGUGCUUAUACAAGAUUGAUAGAAUGUCUGCCCAUUAAUGGCACCAGGAGUCUAUACUAGACAAUCAGUGUAUAAAUCUGUAAAAUAAAACUGAGUUUUCCUCUCUCUGCUAAAUUAUG